UUUAUUUCGGAGCAUAUGAUACAAUCAAGUAACUUAAGUACAAAGAUGAUUAAGCUUGGCAAACAAGGAUAUGUCAUGUUUCUCAAUCCGAGAGAUAAGAAGCACAGAGCCAAAGGCCCUGCAAAAAGGCAGGGGAGAACUGAAUUGUUGUUUCCUAAAACUUUGCAUUAAGAUCAACAUGACUUUCUAGUCAUUAAAUAUUCUGCUAGAUUUCGAACUUGCAAAUAUGGUCUGUUUUAAUGAAAUUGCAGAAUGUUGUCUCACGUCUCAAGAACUUUGAUUUCACUUCUUUUUCAAGGAAAAAAAAAUGGUUUCACUUAGUUUGCAGAAGUGUCCUGAACUCAAUUUUCAGACAAAAGUAUGGUUCAAGACUCCUUGGUGAGUGAAAGUAAUUCUUCAUCAUAUUUAUUCCUUUAUUUUUCUUUUUGGAUAUCAUUGUAUUUAUUCUUGUGCAAGGACAAGUACAUGCAUACUCAAACCUUGCAAUUGCCCAGCAUACAGAACUGAGCCAACAGAUGAAACCCGUGGUCAAAUAGGCAAGAAAGACUAAGUCUGACAUCUGGGAAAUGCGCGGACAUGAAGGCCCCCAUCUACAUGAAGAGUGAUCAUCGUCCUGUAGGUGACAGAUUUAUUCUCAUCACUCAGUUUGAACACAAAGUAGUGCACAAGAACAGCCGAGAAGAUCUUCAUCUGCCUAUAAGCAAAUUCCUUGCCUAAACAAAUUCGAGGCCCUGCCUGUAAACCAUUAGAAAAUAAAGUUCAGUAUGUUCACAUCUUUAGCCGGUGAAAUCACACUUGUGAAACAAUAUGAGAAGUUUGAACUUUCGGAAAAAGACCCAGAACCAGAAAUCAAAUGCCGUUAUACUGAUUUUUUACCCUUUUUUCCUAUUUGAGGUUUUAUUUUACACCAAGUGCCAAUCAGAAUAAUAAUGCUUUGGCCGAUCUGGAAACGAAGCGUACAAGAAUUUCUAAUUUGUAGUAUGUUCUGCACACCUGGAAUGCUGUAAACUUAAAAGGGCUUUCUGGUUGGAACAUCCCAUCCUCAUCAAGCCAUCUCUCUGGUCUGAACUCCUCUGCAUCAUCACCCCAUAUGAAUUUCAUUCUGCCCAUUGCAUAAGGUUGAUAACAAACCAUAUCUCCUUUCCUCACACUGAACCCAUCUGGAAGAGUAUCAUCAGAAAAGCAUAUCUUUGGAUCCUGCAAUCAAAGUGAAGAGGUAGUGAGAACCAAAGAAAACCCCAGAACAUAGAAAGGAAGCUAAUUUCUAGCCUUCCCGAUACGCCUUGAAUGGAUAUCAGUUUAUAGAUGCAUGUUCUUUGAUGUGCAUUAACAAGUUCAGUUGGAGGAUUCAAGAUUCAAGGCAACUUUGCUUACAACUGGAACAGCGGGGUAGAGCCUUAAUGUUUCAGUUAAGGCUGCAUGGAGAUAGUGCAUUUUUCCUAGAGCUUCUUCGCUCAAGAUAGCAGCAAAUUCAGCAAAAUCUUUAACCUCCAUCGUGUCAGUUGCUUCCUUCACUUCUUGUGCAACCUUUUCUUGAACAUCAGGAUGCUUGCAGAGCAUGUAAAUAAACCACGACAGAGUAGCUGCUGUUGUGUCUUUCCCAGCAAUUAUGAAGUUAAGGAUUAUAUCUCGCACGUAUGUUGGGUCAGUGUCAUUCAAUUGCAGAAAUCUGGAUAAAAUGUCUUCCUUUUUCAUCUGCACAAUCCGUAGAAUACAAUUAUUUCAAAAUUCUACAUAGAAACCGUUAAUUAUAAGUAGCUCUAUUCUUCUAGUUCACUCACAGAAGAAUCGUUCGAGUUACGCAUCUGCUCAAUCUUGUUGUGGAUCAGCUUAUACACAAAAUUAUCAACCACUUUUGUACUUUUCUUUAGUUUUGCUUCUGAUCCAAUAUUUAAAAAUCUCUUGAUCUUCCAGAAGAUAUCAACAUAUCGGAAGAGGAUUGCUGCGCUUGAAUCAUCAAAAGCAGCUGUAAACUCUUUGCCUUCUAAAUUUGAUCCACACACGCUGUCUAGUUCAACUCCAAAUCCAACUUUGAAUAUCGAAUCUAAAGUCGAUUUCAUAAACAAGUCCUGCACAACAUUUCGCUAUAACAGGUUCAUAUUAUAUAUCACUCCGUCAUGGAUCUUGCCAUUAGGUGAACUUACCUGAAUAUCCAUUAUCUUGUUGGACUUCGCUGCGUCAGACACUAUAUUUGCAAGCUUUGCUGCAUUUUUCCGAAAGACUACAGUGCUGAAAUCCCUCAACACCUUCGUUGAGAAUUCAUAGCUUGACACUUUCCUCUGUUGACGCCACUUAUCACCAUCGACUGCGAAAAUCCCAUCACCUAGUAAACCCUUUAGCAAGCUGUAAUUGUACUCACCCUGCACAGAAAAUUAGACAAAUUGAAAAACCAAAACGACCCCACCAUUCUGCCGUAGCCAUAUAAUUAUCAAAAACUCUUUCGUUAUAGCAAAUAACCCUGCAGCACAUUAGCAUUUGUAGUUGACUUAAUUGUGACUAUAGAUUGAGACACUCUUUCAUAUUCUAAUUCUGGGUGUUACUGUCUAAGCUACUUCUUCCAACCAAUGACAGGGGGAGUUCAAAAUUUUCUAGACCAACAAAUUACCUUGCCAUAAUUCUGGAAAUUUGUUUUGAGAAUAUAUUCAACGUUGUCUGGUUCCGAGGUAUAAACCUCACUCCUGAAAGGGCUAAGCAGCCUGUAGUUCCUGUACUUCCCAGCAAGAUCAGUCAUAUAGUGAUGCACUCUUUUGAAGUUGAGGAGCUGGUUAAAAAGUGUUCCGCCAACAGGAUGGUACUUGGUCUUGUUUUUUUUCUGCUUUUCUCUUAGUUUUGCUGCGAGGAACUUGACAGUGAAAAGGAUCAGGAUUAGAUUUAGAAACAAAGCGACCAAUGUAGCUGGGUUAGACAGAUCCAUGGAGAUGGAGGUCCUUUUUGGGUAAGCUGGUCGAUCAAUGUUAGCGGGUGAAGACUGAAGAAAACUAGAGGUCUUUUUAUAAUACUAAUAAUAUCAACGGGGAGAAAUCCUUUUGCUAAGUCAUUUCUCUUAACCAGACGUGUGACUAUAUUCGGACAAUCCGCAAACGUGUUUCUCUUAAAUUUUACGUGCACAUUGCUGAGAGUCCAACCAUGAGAGAGAUAUGCACCGACUUUCCUUCGUUGUCUCCUUUUUCGUUUUUAAAUUGUUAUAAGUUAUUAACUAAUUUCACCACAACCAAUUAACAAAACAAAGGGCAGGACUAGGUUUUUUUUUACUCAGUCAAUAUAACUAUUUAGAGAAAAUUGUGAAAAAUAACUCAUAAGGUGAUUUCAAAAAUAAUUAUCCAUAUAAUGUUAUCUGUUUUUACCAAAAAACAAACAUGAGUAAACCAAAAUGCUCUCAGAAACAUCCUGGCAAAUCAAUCUCCUAAUAUCUCUCUCGCUGUAAAGAAAAUAAAUACUCAGUUAUUUCAGCUCGCUCAACUCUUUCAGCUCUCUAAAUUAUAUCAGCUUUGUCAACUCUCUGUUAAGUACCAUCGUCAUCAACUCUCUUAGCUAUUUGAACUGUAUCAUCUAUAUGUACUUAUUAAAGAUAUAAAUUAAAGAAUAUAAAAGAAAACGAAGUAAAUGAAUAAUUGAAAAGACAAGUCGAGCCACUAAUUACUACAAUGAUCACUGUCUGAUCACGACAGCUAAAGCCACUGCAAUUGCUCGGCCAAUAAAGUUGACAAACUUUGUUGAAAUAGGACUUGCAUUGAAAAUCACGUCAGUUCAUACUAUCUUAGGAUCAUAUGUGACCAUUUUGUAUAAGCUAGCUUUCUUUCAAAUUAUGAUAACUAUGCAUUUAAUGAAUGAUUUAUAUGAUGAUUAGUAUGCAUUCUUAGGCCUAGCUACUGUUCAAAACUUAGUUGUUAAGUUUUGUUAUGUAUAUAAACUAAGUCAAUGCAUAUCAGAAAUAUGAAACCUACUGUUACAACAAAAACUGUCUUUACUUGCUCUGUUUCAUACUUAUCCUACAUCAACUAAAACACAACAAAACUUACUAAAUAAAGCAAUCUAUAUACCAACAAUGUCUUGGAAUUUAGCAAGUUUUAGUUUGUCCUCUUGGAAUGACAUAGAGGUCGAGGCCAUGCUGGAGGGUGAAGCCACAACAUGGUCCUAUCGUCUGCCAAGUUGAAGCGAAAGUAGUGAAUAAGGGAACUUUGUUGAGAUUUUCUUUAUCUGCUCAGAAGAAAUUAAGAAAAAAUUAUAUGGUGUAGAUACUUGAUUUUGAUUUUGAUUGUUAACAUAUUUCUUCAAUAUAAAGUAAAAUUAAUUUAUAAAACGUUGUAUUACUAUGUAAGAAGUAGUGUAGAUAAUUUAUAAUAAGUAGAAAAAUCACGUCAUUGUAUAAACUAGUGAAAAUAUCUUCGAAAUAAAUGAUGAGAUUUUUAAAUUAAUUUUUUUAAAAUGUUUUGAAGAGUUUGAUUUGAUAACUUAAAUACAUAAAUGAAAAUUUUCUAAAUACGUAUGCAUAAAAUCCACUAUCACCAUCAAUGACCUAAACAUUCAUAAGGCUUUAAUGCCUCAACAGUUGACAUUUUCUCAUUGGUAUGAAUAAAUUUCAUUAAUUACAAGAUUACUCAAUUCCAUAACCCUUCAAGAUAUUUUCUCAUUGAUUGUGUUCGAUUUGAUAAGGAUGUUAAUUUUUUUUUUUGAAUUACAAAUAUUUUUCAUUUUUUUAAAUAAUUAAGUGACGCACUUCUAAUGCCUCAGUAGCUGACAUUAAUUAUCCAUUGGUUGCAUUCACUUUGAUUCGGAGCUAAUUAACAACCGAAAAGUUGGCCGAUGUUUGCCGACUUGGAUUUAAUGGUCAUAUGAGUUGGUGUAACAAUGUGAUACCAAAAAGGUAGUAAUCAAUACAAAUUUUGAGUAGGAAGAGUACUGCAUUCAAAUGAAAUCAAGAAGAAGAUUGUGGAGAAAACUCUCAUUUAAUGGAAGAACAUGACUGCCAAAUACGAGUACCUAAACAUGGUUUGGCAAUUGCCAUCAUCCUAUGCAUCCCUAGGUUACUUAACUGAUUGAUGUAAUUCAUUGAAUAAAAUGGUUAGUUGUUAUUAUCAUGUCAUGUCAUCGUCAUGAUAUUUCUUCCUCUUUUGUGAGUAAUGAGAUUUUUGAAGGAUGGAGAUGACUCUACCUAAAUUCUUAGAUUUUUUUGUUGCUUAUUUUCAUUGUAUUUUGAGUUUUUGACUGUGUCUAACUGUUUAUCUUUUGCAAAGCCAUUUUUUCACCUUAAUUUCAACCCAGCAUCUGUGUGUUGUCCGAUGGGUUAGAAAAUGGGCAAGUUUGAUUGGUGGUUGAUUCCUUUUCUUCAGCAUUUUGGUAACUUGGGCCUAUAAAAUUUAUUUAUAGUAGACAAAAAAAAACUUUUAUUAAAAAAUAUUAUAGUAAAUAUUUGUUUCUUUUCGGAUAAUUGACUUUUAUUUAGCUAAGGAAUAUUUUAUUUGAAAUAUGUCCCAUAUAUACCACUGAAAAUCCAAGGCUUUUUAUGGUUAUUCAUUCUUAAUGGCAUUUCUACUAAAUGCUUUCUAAGAAUCAGAACGCAUGGUGUAUGUCCUACAAUACAAAUGGUGAUAACCUUUGUUUUUGGUGUUACAGCCAUGGAGGAAAAGAGUGAUGAUAUUUUAUUUUCUUGUCACUUCAUACGGUCCAUGGAGGAAAUGUGGAUAGAUCGAAGAUAAGUAAAUCAAGAUUCACAGACUGUGAAAGCGUAUUAAAAGAUGAGAACUUUUUGACUUGGAUUUUUUUUAAUAAAAGUUCUUUGCUUGGAUUUUUUUUUAGUAAAAAUUCUUUGCUUGGAUUUAAGAGAUGAGAUUCAAAGAACUUUUAAGAGAUGCAGCAAACAACCUCAAAAUCCAAGCUCUUUGCUUGUAAGCUUCCUAGCCACUUGUAAACAGAAAAUACGGCUUCUAUGGAGUCCCAAUCUCGGGAAAUGGUCAGGGCAUAUAGACCAGAUGACUCGAAUUGUACAUAUAUUUUUUUCUUUUUUGGUGAAAUAACUCAAAUUCCAUUGAUCAACACAUUUACAGAAAAAAGCAAAUCAACACUAUAGAAAAAUGCAAAUCGGGGCUCUUAUGUACAACCAGCAAGGUUGAAGACUUGAAGUUGAACAAAUUGAUGACUUUGCACAGGAGGAUAUUUGGAAAUUCAUCAACUUGUCCUUGGAACAGCAUAAAGAUGGAGGCCCCCCUUCAUAUGAAGUGUGAACAUUGUCCUGUAAGUUGCAAUUUUCGUAUAAUCAACUAAUUUAAAGCGGAAGAAGCGAAGAAGGGCAAUUGAGACUAUCUUCAUCUACCGGUGAGCAAAAUCCUUGCCUAAGCAAGUUCGAGGACCCGCCUGAAACAUAAUGCAGCAGCUGGAAAAGAUUAAGAUCGUUUGACAACUAUAUAGGCACAUGCAUGUUAUACACAUGGUAGAAAUGGAACAAAGAAUACUAACAUGAAAUGCUAUGAAUUUGAAAGGGGAUUCGGACUGGAAAACUCCAUUGUUAAGCCAUCUUUCUGGUCGAAAAGUGUCGGCAUCUUCUCCCCAAAUGUCAGGCAUUCUACGCAUGGCGUAGGCCAUGUAAUACACCCCGUCUCCUUUCUUGAGUUUGUAGCCAUCGGGGAGAAUGUCAUCCUGCUCUGCAUUCCUUCCAUCCUUGAAGCACAAAGUGAGAACCAUAUCAUAUUCCAGCUGUCGAAAUGCUAAGACUGCAAGAAAAUCUAUGAGUGUCUCAGGCACCUUACAAUGGCGACAGCAGGGUACAGCCUUAAGGUCUCUGUUAUGGCUGCAUGAAGAUAGUGCAUUUGCUCUAGGGUUGAAUCAGUUAUGGUUGUCACGAAAUCAUCAACAUUAUUAGCACCAUUUCUUUUACUACUAGUGACGUCCACCACUUCUUGUGCAAGUUUUUCUUGUAUCAAAGGGUUCUUGCAGAGCAUGUAGAAGAACCAGGACAGAGUAUUCGCAGAAGAAUCUUUGCCAGCGAGUACGAAGUUCAGGAUUAUAUCCCUUAAAUAUUUGUCAUUCAUUGUGUCUGGAUUCUUCUCGCUUUCCACUAAAAAUCUUGAAAGUAUGUCUUCUUUCACAUUCUUGAAGCCAUAAAAAGAAAUAAGAAAAAACAAACCAAUUAUUAGUAAAGUAUAAAUUUCCACGCCAAAAACCAGAUUACCUUAAGCAGUGAGAUUGAAUUCAACAGUGUUCUUGUGACUCUCAAGUCCCACCAUAUUUGUUAGACCAAGAUUGACUAUAAGAAAUUCUUGCAGCAAAAUAUAUAUGGCUCACCAAAUCUCGUUCCAUGCCCAGCAGUUUCCUCUUGGAGCUAAUGACAUCGUGAACAAAGUAUCAACGACUUUGAUAUUCUUUCUGAGGGCAGCUUCAGAGCCAAUGUUAAGAGACCGUUUCAGCUUCCAGAAAGGGUCAACAAAGCGCCUCUCAUUUGAAUCAUCAAAAGCCUUCAUAAAAGUAGUCCCUUCCUUACUUGACCCAUCCAUGCAGUUUAAAUCUAUGCCAAACCCAACUUUGAAUAUGGAAUCUAGAGUGCAUGUCAUUAAUAGAUUCUACAAAUUAAAGUAAACACAGCAUGAAAAACUGAAAAAGGGAAAAUUAGACAAGCAUAAUUGUGAGCAUCUUUAAAGUUUUGGGUUAAUUUGAGGGUCAGAUUUCUCACUUGCAUGUCAAAAGCUUGACCCGACACUUCCAGCUUCGAAAUAACUCCAACCAGUUUGGCAGCGUUCCUUCUGAAAACAGAGCAGCUAAAAUAUUUAAGAACUCUCGUCGAGAACUCGAAGCUUGCCAGCUUCCGCUGCUUCCGCCACUUGUCUCCGUCCACCGCAAAGAUCCCUUGUCCAAAAAGAUCUAUCAGAAUUUCUUGGUUUUGUUUACCCUUACAGUAUCUGUCGAACUUUGUUUUCAAUAUGUACUCUACAUUUCGCGUAUCGACGGUGUAUACUACGCUUAGCCCUAAAGCGAGUUGCCUGUAAGUGGGCUGUUUUUUGGCCGCUUGGGUUUGGUAGUCGUAGAGAUAGUUGAAAUAAAACAACUGGUUGAAAACGCUGCCCUUCACCGGUGGGUUGUCAGGAUUUCCGAUGGAUUUUCCGGUGAAGAUUUUGAUUGUGAGAAAAGAGAAGAUCAGGAAGAGAAUGAGUGGUGGUAAUGACAUCAACAAGAAGAUGGUAGAGAGAAUAUCCAUUUUUCCUUUUUCUAAUGAAUACUCGGAAAGGUUAUAGGCCAUAUAUGCAGAUUCUUGCAUUGGGUUGCAUUCAUUUUUCAACCUACCAACAAAAUCAAACCGUUUUCAUCACCAAUAUCUUUCUCAACAACAAAAUCAUUUGUUUAAUAAUUAUAAUGUUUACACGUGUACGAUUGCCAUUUCAUCAAUUUGAUUUUUCUUGUAAAUUAAGUUGAUGCCACCAUAUCUCAUACUUCAAAAAUUUUAGAGGAUUGUACGGAUAAUCAUAAAUUUAUAAUCAUAAUUAUAAUCUAUUUAACUUCUAAAGUGAAUUAACAUAUAUAACUUUAAUCAAGUAAGCAUGAAAAAAGUGUAUCAUUUAAGUUUGGGUCUUGUUUACGAAUAUUCUAAGAGUUUUUUUAUCGUUAAUUAAAAUAUUAUAAUAAUAUUUUUCUUUUAAAUGUCGUAAUUGACUGGUAGUGCGAUGAUUUUCAAUAUAUCUAAAAUGAUAUUACUCAAUAUAAUAACUUUAAAUAAUAUCAUUAUAACAAUAGUUAGUAAAAGUCAUAAUAUUCAAAAAAGCUUUUAAAUUAUUCAAAAAAUUUAAAAUAAAUCUUACUUUUAUUAUAUUCAAUUAUAUUUUUAUAUUUUUAUUUUAGAUCAAAUAAAUCUUUUAUUUUUAUUUUGAAUCAAAUAAAUCUUUAUAAAUAAUAAUUGACUUAGUUAAAAUGUUAUUUGUCAUUAUAUAUUACGUGACGCUGAUGUAGUAUACUAACAUAUCAUAAUUAAUGAUGAUGUGAUAUGUUGAUUUAUCAUAUUUGAUAAUGAUAUGACAUGCUAGUUUAACCUAAUAACAUGAUGACAUUUUUCAAUCUCUACAUUAAUAUCAUAUUAGUGCCACGUGGAUAUAAAAUGAUAAAAUAUAUUUUGACUAAUGAAAAUUAGUCAAUUAUUAUUAAUAAAAGCUUAUUUGAUCUAAAAUAAAAAUAUAGAGACUUGAUUAAGCGUAACAAAAGAAUAAAAAUUUAUUCGAAUUUUGUUAAAUAGUUUCAGAGCUUAUUUGAGAAAUAUGUGUUAGUAAAACCAUUUAUAUUUAAAUUUUUAUUUUAUUUUUUGAAAAGUAAUUUGUCAUAAACGGAAUAAUGACAUGGCUAUAGAUUAAGCUAGGCUAUAAACUUAUUUCAGCCUUAAAUGAUUAACAAUGAAUAAGGUGCGUCCCCUCUCAAGAAACCCCUAUACAAUAGUUAGGAUAAACCCUUAAAGGAUGGACCUCAGGACCGGGGGCAGCUCAAGUACCUCUUGUGACGACAUGAUAUUCAUUGAAGACUAUUUGGACUUCAAGCGUGUUCAUCCAUUGACAUUGGCAAUUAGUUUCUGCUGGCAUGAACCGUAUGGCGACCACUUGUAUGAUUGUGAUAUAUCAUGCUGUUGAGUGCGAGCUCAACUUUGUUGAAGUACAUUGGUGUCCUUGGUUUUGUUGAAUUCUGACAAUAGACAUCCCAUACCCAAUUCAUAGCAUACAUAUGGCUUUUAUCUUUGUUUAAAUUGAAUUAAGAACAUCCGGAUUCAUUUCAUACUCAUAAGAUCUUAAGAUGAUCAAGAUUUGCACUUAACGGAAGCAAAACUGGCCUGAACUCAAUAUUCAGACAAAAGUAUGGUUCUAGACUCUUUGGUCAGUGAAAGCAACCAUCCAUCAUAUCGAUUCCUUUCGUCCUUUUUGCUUGGUGACAUCAUCCGAUUUACUCAUGUGCAAGGAAAGAUACAAGUAUAUUAACAGUGUGCAUUUGCCUAGUAUAAAGAACUGAGCCACCAGAUGAAACCCUUGGUCAAAUAAGCUAGAAAGACCAAAGUUAAGUCUGACAUCUGUGAAGUGCGCGGACAUGAAGGCCCCCAUCUACAUGAAGAUUGAUCAUCGUCCUGUAGGUGACACAUUUAUUCUCAUCACUCAGUUUGAACGCAAAGCAGUGCACCAGAACAGCUGAGAAGAUCUUCAUCUGCCUAUAAGCAAAUUCCUUGCCUAAACAAAUUCGAGGCCCUGCCUGUAAACCAUUAGAAAAUAAAGUUCAGUAUCUUCACAUCUUUAGCCGGUAAAAUCACACUUGUGAAACAAUAUGAGAGGUUUGAACUUUCAGAAAAAGACUCAGAACCAGAAUCAAAUGCUGUUAUGCUGCUUUUUUACCAUUUUUUUUCUAUUUGAGGUCUUUUUUUACACCAAGUGCCAAUCAGAAUAAAAAUGCUUUGCCCGAUCUGCAAAAGAAGCAUACAACAAUUUCUAAUUUGCAACAUGUUCUGCAUACCUGGAAUGCUGUAAACUUAAAAGGGCUUUCUGGUUGGAACAUCCCCUCCUCAUCAAGGCAUCUCUCUGGUCUGAACUCCUCUGCAUCAUCACCCCAAAUGAAUUUCAUUCUGCCCAUUGCAUAAGGUUCAUAACAAACCAUAUCUCCUUUCCUCACACUGAACCCAUCUGGAAGAGUUUCAUCAGACAAGCAUAUCUUUGCAUCCUGCAAUCAAAGUGAAGAGGUAGUGAGAACCAAAGAAAACCCCAGAACAUAGCAAGGAAGCUAAUUUCUAGCCUUCCCGAUAUGCAUUGAAUGGAUAUCAGUUUAUCGAUGCAUGUUCUUUGAUGUGCAUUAACAAGUUCAGUUGGAGGAUUCAAGAUUCAAGGCAACUUUGCUUACAACUGGAACAGCGGGGUAGAGCCUUAAUGUUUCAGUUAAGGCUGCAUGGAGAUAGUGCAUUUUUCCUAGGGCUUCUUCGCUCAAGAUAGCAGCAAAUUCAGCAAAAUCUUUAACCUCCUUCGUGUCAGUUGCUUCCUUCACUUCUUGUGCAACCUUUUCUUGAACAUCAGGAUGCUUGCAGAGCAUGUAAAUAAACCACGACAGAGUAGCUGUCGUUGUGUCUUUCCCAGCAAUUAUGAAGUUAAGGAUUAUAUCUCGCAAGUAUGUUGGAUCAGUGUCACUCACUUGUAGAAAUCUGGAUAAAAUGUCUUCCUUUUUCAUCUGCAUAAUCUGUAGAAAAUAAUAAUUUCAAUAUUCUACUUCAACAGGUAAUAUAAGCUGUUAACUAUAAGUAGCUCUACUGUUCUAGUUCACUCACUGAAGCUUCAUCCUUUGAGUUGCGUAUUGGCUCAAUCUUGUUGUGGAUCAGCUUAUACACAAAAUUAUCAACCACUUCUAUACUUUUCUUCAGUGUGGCCUCUGAUCCAAUAUUUAGAAAUCUUUUGAUCUUCUAGAAGAUAUCAACAUAUCGGAAGAGGAUUGCUGCACUUGAAUCAUCAAAAGCAGCUGUAAACUGUUUGCCUUCUAAAUUUGAUCCACACAUGCUGUCUAGUUCGACUCCAAAUGCAACUUUGAAUAGUGAAUCUAAAGUCGAUUUCAUAAACAAGUCCUGCACAAUAUAUCGUUAUAACAGAUCCAUUUUAUAUAUCACUCUGCAUUGAUCUUGCCAUUAGGUGAACUUACCUGUAUAUCCAUUAUCUCAUUGGAAUUUGCUGCUUCAGACACUAUAGUUGCAAGUUUUGCCGCAUUUUCCCGAAAGACUACACUGCUGAAAUCUCUCAAGACCUUGGUUGAGAAUUCAUAGCUUGAUACUUUCCUCUGUUGACGCCACUUAUCACCAUCGACAGUGAAAAUCCCAUCACCUAGUAAACCCUUUAGCAAGCUGUAAUUGUACUCACCCUGCACAGAAAAUUAAACAGUUUGGAAAACCAAAACAACUCCACCAUUCUGCCUUUUGGGUGGCCAUAUAAUUAUCAAAAGCCCUCUCAUUCCAACUAAUCACUCUGCGGCAUAUUAGCAUCUACAAUUGACUUACUUGUGGCGAGAUUGAGACCCUUUUUCUUAAUCUAAUUACGGGUGUUUCUGUCUAAGCUACUUACACUAACCAAUCACCGGGAGAGUUCAGAAUUUUCUAGACCAACAAAUUAUUUGUGACUUUGAGGUGUGAAACGAGAGUCGGCACCAUACCUUGCCAUAUUUCUGGAAAUUUGUUUUUAGAAUAUACUCAACAUUGUCUGGUUCCGAGGUAUAAAUCUCAUUCCUGAAAGGGCUAAGCAGCCUGUAGUUCCUGUACUUCCCAGCAAGAUCAGUCAUAUAGUGAUGCAAUCUUCUGAAGUUGAGGAGCUGGUUAAAAACCGUUCCGCCAACGGGAUGGUACUUGGCCUUAUUUUUCCUCUGCCUUUCUCUUAGUUUUGCUGUGAGGAACUGGACGGUGAAAAGGGUCAGGAUUAGACUUAGAACCAAAGCUACCAAGGGAACUGGGUUAGACAGAUCCAUGAAGAUGGAGGUACGUUUGGGAAAGCUGGUCUAUCAAUGUUAGGUGAAGGCUGUAUUAAACUAGAGAAGUCGUUCUGAAAUACUAAUAAUAUCAACGGAGAGAAGUCCUUCUGCCAAGUUAUUCCUCUCAACCAAACGUGUCACAACCUAAUUGGACUACAUUCGGACAAGCCCGAAACGUGGUUCUCUCGAAUUUCACAAGGUGAAAUUUUUGAAAUUGGCAAAAAAUUACUAAUAAAUUUCACCACAACCAGAUAACAAAACAAAGGGUCAUACUUAUUUUUUCCUUAGUUAUGAUGGUAAAGGACAUACAUAUCUGUUCUAUUCGGUUAUUUUGUAGUUAAGUAAAGAGAAUGAUUUUUUAAUUUAAUUUUUAAAUAAAAAUACGUGUAUUUAUCAUGUUAAGUUUAAUAUUCAGAUGAAAAAUUAAUUAGAAUUUUAUUUCAAAGCAUAUGAUACAAUUAAGUAACUUAAGUACAAAGAUGAUUAAGCUUAGCAAACAAGGAAAUGUCAUAUUUCUCAAUCCGAGAGAUAAGAAGCACAGAGCCAAAGGCCCUGCAAAAAGGCAGGGGAGAACUGAAUUGUUGUUUCCUAAAACUUUGCAUUAAGAUCAACAUGACUUUCUAGUCAUUAAAUAUUCUGCUAGAUUUCGAACUUGCAAAUAUGGUCUGUUUUAAUGAAAUUGCAGAAUGUUGUCUCAGGUCUCAACAACUUUGAUUUCACUUCUUUUUCAAGGAAAAAAAAAUGGUUUCACUUAGUUUGCAGAAGUGUCCUGAACUCAAUUUUCAGACAAAAGUAUGGUUCGAGACUCCUUGGUGAGUGAAAGUAAUUCUUCAUCAUAUUUAUUCCUUUAUUUUUCUUUUUGGAUAUCAUUGUAUUUAUUCUUGUGCAAGGACAAGUACAUGCAUACUCAAACCUUGCAAUUGCCCAGCAUACAGAACUGAGCCAACAGAUGAAACCCGUGGUCAAAUAGGCAAGAAAGACUAAGUCUGACAUCUGGGAAAUGCGCGGACAUGAAGGCCCCCAUCUACGUGAAGAGUGAUCAUCGUCCUGUAG
rnacentral:lncRNA from 1 species